CACAUGCAUUACUGUCUACUGUAACUGCAUUAGCUCUGAUAUCUAUAUCCCUCAGUUGGUAUUGCUGCUACUAUGACAUUUCUGUCUGACUGGAUGACCUACUAGAUAUAAGCUACAAAUAGACAAAAUAAAUAUCUAAAUAAAUAAACAGGACUUACUUUUAUGUGGCAGAUCAUUAUCAGUACAGGGGCAUCCUCCUGGCAUAGGUAUUUUAAAUGAGAUAAAAAAUAACAAUUUUAUUUGUUGAUAAACACCAUUAAUGACUGAUAAAUAUAUCAUAGUUGUGUUAUAAUUUUGUUUAAUAUAGCCGCUGCCUUGACAUCCCUUUUUAGGCUUGAAAAGUUAUUUGAAAGCUAGUUAUACCCUAUGACCUUUGGUCUAGUUAAAACUUCCCCUCCUUGUGUAGUUGCUUGAGAGAUGCCAUGCUUAUUUCUAAACUCACUGACCACAAACCUAGCAUAUCCUGCAGCUGCUGGGCAGGAUUCAACCUAAUAAUGGCCAACAUCAGAGUCUCUGCUUCCACCCCCAACCCACCUGCUGUUUGAACACGUCACUGUCACUGGAUUUGCCACCCGCCCAAUGGGCACCCUGCUUCUAUCAUGGAUCUCCUUCACAAUGUAUUUCUUUGAGGACAAAAGAGACUCAACAUGAAGGAACAAAGCAUGCAGCAGAGGAAUCAAUACAGAUAGAUUUUGGUCACCAAAAUACUAAACAAUAGGAUUUUAGCAAACCAGCAGUGAAAAUGGAUAUUGGGAAGGAUAAAGAAAAAAGGGAAGAGGAAGGAGAAACAUUUCGCUGAUAAUAUAAAAAGGACUACUUUAUAGAAGCAAAAUUUGGGGCUCCUGACUAGGAAAUACUGCCAUCUAGUGUGAGCUAAUUUCACAUGCAGUCCUGUUGCAAUGGAGUGUUGCCAGUACACUUUAUUAAAGAUGUAGGGGCCUGCAACUAUCGAAUGCAGAUUGAUCAUUAGCUGGUGUUUUCUUGAAAAAAAUCUCACUGGUAUAAUCCUGCAUGAUUUUAGUUCAUUGGAGUAUUUUCCACAUAAUAUCAUGAAUAAAAAAGAGCACAAAAUGCA
rnacentral:lncRNA from 13 species